GUCGUCAGCUCGUGUCGUGAGAUGUUGGGUUAAGUCCCGCAACGAGCGCAACCCCUACGUUUAGUUGCUAACAGGUGAAGCUGAGCACUCUAGACGAACUGCCGUUGACAAAACGGAGGAAGGUGGGAUGACGUCAAAUCAUCAUGCCCCUUAUGUUCUGGGCUACACACGUGCUACAAUGGCCGGUACAGACGGAGGCGAAGCCGCGAGGCGGAGCAAAUCCGAAAAAGCCGGUACUCAGUUCGGAUUGCAGGCUGCAAUUCGCCUGCAUGAAGUCGGAAUCGCUAGUAAUCGCAGGUCAGCAUACUGCGGUCGAAUACGUUCCCGGGCCUU
rnacentral:rRNA from 1 species